GAUGAACGCCGACAGAAUGCUUAACACAUGCAAGUCAACUUGAACUUCGGUUUGGGUGGCGGACGGGUGAGUAACGCGUAAAGAACUUGCCUCACAGAUAGGGACAACAUUUGGAAACGAAUGCUAAUACCUGAUAUUAUGAUUUUAGGGCAUCCUAGGAUUAUGAAAGCUAUAUGCGCUGUGAGAGAGCUUUGCGUCCCAUUAGCUAGUUGGAGAGGUAACGGCUCACCAAGGCGAUGAUGGGUAGCCGGCCUGAGAGGGUGAUCGGCCACAAGGGGACUGAGACACGGCCCUUACUCCUACGGGAGGCAGCAGUGGGGAAUAUUGGACAAUGGACCAAGAGUCUGAUCCAGCAAUGCUGUGUGCACGAUGAAGUUUUUCGGAAUGUAAAGUGCUUUCAGUUGGGAAGAAAAAAUGACGGUACCAACAGAAGAAGAGACGGCUAAAUACGUG
rnacentral:rRNA from 1 species